AGCGACACCUAGCAGUAUAUAGUAGCAAUCCAAUAAAACUAAUAAAGAACCUCUAGGUAUAGUUUUUGUACGAUUCAGUCUCUUUUCGUGAGUGUCGACUUGAUUGUAGAUCAUGAAUAAAUCGUCAAACCUCAACAUCAGUCAUAUGAUAAAUUCAAUUAGCUCAAGUCCAAUAAUGAUUCUAAUAAAAAUUCUUUUUCAUUAAUCAUACUGCUAUGGUCACAGAC
rnacentral:lncRNA from 1 species